AUAAGAGACUUAGAAGAAGAACUGUUGUCCCUCUGCAUUAUCCAGCUCGUUUGAUAAUUUUUCCACCUAACGUCCAUCCAAAACAACUUGAUUCCCCAGAGGAGGCUUGGAAAUUUGUCAACUAACUUAACUACUGUCGUAUCACAGUAUUGGAGGGAAAUGAGGAAUCGUUGUGUUCUGAGUUUCAUGGAGAAAUGGCUCACUCCAGACAUGACAGCUAUGUUGGCAAGACCCAAAGGCUUCUCAGUACACGAGAGAUACUGAAUUGCUGAUUUGGAGAAGGCAAGAGGUAGGGGGUUCUUUUGAAGACCCUGAUCUGGAGUUACACGCUAACUAUGGUUCUUUGCAAGAAUGGGUCUCAGGGUUCCAUAACUGGCUGUUGUUCAGCACACCAAAGGCUCGGCUUAAGAGUCCGGCUUGAAUUCUGAAGCCUAGGAUGUCACGGCUCUGGAAUCAAGUGGAUCAAGGAUUGGUGUUACAACAGGAGACCAGUGUGUCAUCGGAAGAGUCGGAAUAUCUGCUGUGUGCAUGGAGACUUAUUAAGGAGAGAGAGAACCUGCAGUAUGUUGAAUACCUGUGAA